rnacentral:rRNA from 1 species
AUUGAACGCUGGCGGCAGGCUUAACACAUGCAAGUCGAACGAGUGGCGGACGGGUGAGUAAUGCUUGGGAAUCUAGCUUAUGGAGGGGGAUAACUACGGGAAACUGUAGCUAAUACCGCGUACCAUAGGCUGAGCCCAAGUGGGAUUAGGUAGUUGGUGAGGUAAAGGCUCACCAAGCCGACGAUCUCUAGCUGGUCUGAGAGGAUGACCAGCCAUAGUGGGACUAAGACACGGAGCAGACUACGACGGGCGGCAGCAGGGGGGAAUAUGGCGCAAUGGGGGGAACCUGACGCAGCCAUGCGGCGUGAAUGAAGAAGGCCGUCGGGUUGUAAAGUUCUUUCGGGAGCGAGGCGUUAACUACAGAAGAAGCACCGGCUAACGCCGUGCCAGCCGCGGUAAUAC